CACGUAGGGCGCAAGCGUUGUCCGGAAUUAUUGGGCGUAAAGAGCUCGUAGGCGGUCUGUUGCGUCUGCUGUGAAAACCCGGGGCUUAACCCCUGGCUUGCAGUGGAUACAGACAGACUAGAGGUAGGUAGGGGAGAAUGGAAUUCCCGGUGUAGCGGUGAAAUGCGCAGAUAUCGGGAGGAACACCAGUAGCGAAGGCGGCACUCUGGGCCGGUACUGACGCUGAGGAGCGAAAGCGUGGGGAGCGAACAGG
rnacentral:rRNA from 1 species